AUAUGGGCCAAAAGCAAGCAGAUGGGUGGGACUAGUCGAUAGGGCAUAUUAGUUGGCAUGGGCAAGUUGGGCCGAAGGGCCUGUUUCUAUGCUAUGAUCUGACCCACACACCCAUUCCCACUCUUCACCUUCUGUUUGCAUUUUCUUUGCUCUUUGCUUUUUA